CUGUGGUGCAGAAAGCUCAAUACAUCUGUGCUUUGUGGCAAAAUAUAUCUUAUUUUAUUUAAAAUGCAAAGUAGCGAUUCAAUUGUAAAUGUGUGUGUGAAUAAACUAGACUCACAAGAAUUAUAGUGCUGUUUUGGAGUAAUUUGAUUCGUGUGUGUUUCUGUGUUUGUGCUUGCUCUGUGAAAUGCUGCCUGCUCUCCGAUGUCCCUCCCCUUCUGGGGCAGCGCUGCAAACAUAAGACUGUUGCUAUGGAAACACCAAUGAGAGUGAACGACACAGGCCAAAGUUUACAUUGGGAGAUGGGGCAGUUUAAAAUGUGCCCCACGAAAUCUGCUUAGCAAGACAGAUCUACGCUACGUACGUUACUGCACGUUAGCUAUCACUAGUUUUCUACUGUUUUGGAACCAUCUUCCGUGUUUCAAGUUGCAGCCGGAAAUAAUUUCUGUUUAUAAGACAACAUUUUAUGUAAGUUUUGUUCAUUUAGCAGCAUGAUUUGUUGCUGUUAUUUGUUUCAGUUGUGCCUUUCGUUUUAUGCAAUAAAAUAAAAAGAUUAGAUAGACACAAUCUAUUUUAUUUACUUUGUUGCUGUAUUAUAAGCCACAUCUUUGUGUCGCGCUGAGAACUAAAGCAUGUGAAAUGUAAUUGAAAUAGGAUUUCUGCUCCCUGCCGGCAAUCACAAAUUCAGCCAAUAGCCUAUGGCUAGCUGGGCAUAUAGGCAAAUUGCUUAUAUAAUAAAAUAAUAAUCAGCUAGCUCUAUUUUUGUGACGAUGUCAUACAAAAUUGCCCCACCAAGAGAGGAGAGGAGAGGAGAGGAGAGGGGAGGAGCACCAUUGCUAAGGGUCAGGGUUGAGGAGAGGAGAGGAGAGGAAAAGAGAGGUGAGGAGAGGAGAGGAGAGGAGAGGUGCACCAUUGCUAAGGGUCAGGGUUGGGGAGAGGAGAGGAGAUAAGAGGAGAGGAGAGGAGAUGAGAUGAGAGGAGAGGAGGGGAACGUAACAUAACGGAAAGGAGAGGAGAGGAGAGGAGAGGAGAGGACAGGAGCACCAUUGCUAAGGGUCAGGGUUGGGGAGAGGAGAGGAGAGGAGAGGAGAGACUACACUACUCUGAUCCAUCACUGCUCAUACUAAAAUAAAGAGGAGGCAUUAUUCUAUUAAAUACACAAAGCUUGUUUAUCUCCAACUCUAAAACAGUUGAUACUAAAUCCAAGGCAACAAAAAAACACUCAAACCACAACUGGGGUAUGUCGUGGGAAACAUGACUUUUGAAGUUCACAAUUGCGUCAAACCUUUUUUUUUUUUUU
ensembl:lncRNA